rnacentral:rRNA from 1 species
CACACCGCCCGUCAAGCCACGAAAUGGGGGGGCAUCCGAAGUCACUGAGACAACCCGCAAGGGAGUCAGGUGCCUAAGAUGAACUCCGCGAUUGGGACU